CCCUUUACAUUAAUGUCAAAACCAUACUACAAUAGCAAAAAAUUUAAAAUAAUAUUUCUGAUAAAUUCAAGCACAUAACAACAAUCUACUAGUUUUUAAAUAAGUAGGUUUCUAUAGCUUCAGCAUGAAUGGACCAUCCAUCAAUACCAAAAUACGAGUAGUCACCUUACUUCAGCUUUAUAGGUCCUGCAACACUUUGCAUAAGUGAGACCUAUAUUAGGUAUCACAUAUCUAAAAAUUCUGAAGUUGAAACACUCAAUGAUAAAUUAUUUGUAUCACA
rnacentral:lncRNA from 1 species